CCACGGGAGGCAGCAGUAGGGAAUCUUUCACAAUGGGCGAAAGCCUGAUGGAGCAACGCCGCGUGCAGGAUGAAGGCCUUCGGGUUGUAAACUGCUUUUAUAAGCGAGAAAUAUGAUGGUAACUUAUGAAUAAGGAUCGGCUAACUACGUGCCAGCAGCCGCGGUCAUACGUAGGAUCCGAGCAUUAUCCGGAGUGACUGGGUGUAAAGAGUUGCGUAGGUGGCAUAAUAAGUAGCUAGUGAAAUCUGGUGGCUCAACCAUUCAGACUAUUAGCUAAACUGUUAAGCUCGAGACCGUUAGGGGUAACUGGAAUUUCGAGUGUAGGAGUGAAAUCCGUAGAUAUUAGAAGGAACACCAAUAGCGUAGGCAGGUUGCUGGGACGGGUCUGACACUAAGGCACGAAAGCGUAGGGAGCAAACGGGAUUAGAUACCCUAGUAGUC
rnacentral:rRNA from 1 species